AGAGUUUGAUCAUGGCUCAGGAUGAACGCUAGCGGCAGGCUUAACACAUGCAAGUCGAGGGGUAACAGGGAUUGCUUGCAAUCCGCUGACGACCGGCGCACGGGUGCGUAACGCGUAUGCAACCUACCUUCUACAGGGGAAUAGUCAAUAGAAAUGUUGAAUAAUACCCCAUACGAUCUUUGAAUAGCAUUAUUUAGAGAAGAAAGUUCCGGCGGUAGAAGAUGGGCAUGCGUCCUAUUAGUUAGUUGGAGAGGUAACGGCUCCCCAAGACAUCGAUAGGUAGGGGUCCUGAGAGGGAGACCCCCCACACUGGUACUGAGACACGGACCAGACUCCUACGGGAGGCAGCAGUGAGGAAUAUUGGACAAUGGAGGCAACUCUGAUCCAGCCAUGCCGCGUGCAGGAAGACUGCCCUAUGGGUUGUAAACUGCUUUUAUACAGGAAGAAAUGUACCUACGUGUAGGUAUUUGACGGUACUGUACGAAUAAGGAUCGGCUAACUCCGUGCCAGCCGCCGCGGUAAUUC
rnacentral:rRNA from 1 species